AUGAGGAAACUGAGGCUGAAAGAGGUUAAGGGACUUGCCCGAAGUCACAGAGCUAGCAUCUGAGGCUGGAUUCAAACUCAGAUCUUACUGACUCUAAGUAUACCAAUGCUACCCAUGGUGACAUUUACCUGCUUCAUAAAAUGGGAAAAUAAUACUAAGAGGAACCCUAGAAAUAGAAAAGGAGAAAUCAUAUUAAUGUGACCCUUAUCUUCUGUCUUGAAAUCAAUACUUUGUUUUAGUUCUGAGGCAGAAGAGUGGGAAGGGCUAGGCAAUGGGAGUCACACAGCUAGCCCUGGCUCUUAAUCUACUGUGCCAACUACCUGCCACCUCAAGUCUACUGAUGUACGCAGAAUACCAUGGUAUCUCAAAUAAGAGAAUUGAAAGCCAGGGAGGGAACGUUCAGGGUCUGACAGCACAAGCAGAACUGGCACCCAGGUCUAUUCAUUCUCAGUCCAGUUUAGUGCUGAAUUCAAGAUUAGCAUUCUGCUUUUCCAUCUGUGUGGGAAUAGAAAAUUGA
rnacentral:lncRNA from 1 species